CAGAGGUGAAAUCCCCGGGCUCAACCUGGGAACUGCCUUUGUGACUGCGAAGCUAGAGUACGGCAGAGGGGGGUGGAAUUCCACGUGUAGCAGUGAAAUGCGUAGAGACGUGGAGGAACACCGAUGGCGAAGGCAGCCCCCUGGGCCGAUGCUGACGCUCAUGCACGAAAGCGUGGGUAGCAACAGGGAUUAGAUACCCUGGUAGUCCACGCCCUAAACGAUGUCAACUAGGUGUUGGGUGGGUAAAACCAUUUAGUACCGUAGCUAACGCGUGAAGUUGACCGCCUGGGGAGUACGGCCGCAAGGUUAAAACUCAAAGGAAUUGACGGGGACCCGCACAAGCGGUGGAUGAUGUGGAUUAAUUCGAUGCAACGCGAAAAACCUUACCUACCCUUGACAUGUUCAGAAUCCUGGAGAGAUUUGGGAGUGCCCGAAAGGGAGCUGGAACACAGGUGCUGCAUGGCUGUCGUCAGCUCGUGUCGUGAGAUGUUGGGUUAAGUCCCGCAACGAGCGCAACCCUUGUCGUUAAUUGCCAUCAUUUAGUUGGGCACUUUAACGAGACUGCCGGUGACAAACCGGAGGAAGGUGGGGAUGACGUCAAGUCCUCAUGGCCCUUAUGGGUAGGGCUUCACACGUCAUACAAUGGUCGGUACAGAGGGUUGCCAAGCCGCGAGGUGGAGCCAAUCCCAGAAAGCCGAUCG
rnacentral:rRNA from 1 species